rnacentral:rRNA from 1 species
UACGGGGGGGGGUAAGCGUUGUUCGGAAUUACUGGGCGUAAAGGGCUCGUAGGCGGCCAACUAAGUCGGACGUGAAAUCCCUCAGCUUAACUGGGGAACUGCGUCCGAUACUGGAUGGCUUGGAUUUGGGAGAGGGAUGCGGAAUUCCAGGUGUAGCGGUGAAAUGCGUAGAUAUCUGGAGGAACACCGGUGGCGAAGGCGGCAUCCUGGACCAACACUGACACUGAGGAGCGAAAGCCAGGGGAGCAAACGGG